GGGGGAUGACAAACUUAUCAUUUCCGGUGUAUCUCCAGUAUGACAACACACAUUCACAGCCCUGAAAUUCAAUGAAUCGAAACCUCAAACAAAGUGAGACCGACUAGAGAAGAUGAGCCCAAAAAGGAGCCCGGCCCCAUUUUUCCCCCCUUUUCGUCAUCGAUUUGCCACCGCAGUAUCGUCAUAUUACCAGAUGGAGGUGCCAACAAACAAUCCCGUCUUCCAAACACCUCAUCCGACAGACCUGUUGUUCCACAUCCCUCUGUAUCCUCCACCAACUGUAAAGAAAAAAUAAUUAACACCCCACUAUCAAACAUACAGAUCCAUGCAUGCACGCAUACUCUUUUAAAGCUGCAUGCGCGUGUACGUGGACGCGCUAUAUUUAAAUGCAUGCAUGCCGUGCAGUACAUGUCUGGAUGAGAUAUGCGACAAAAGCGCAUCCUCAACUCCAGAACUGCCAAGAAAAGUAAGCGAUGAGAGGAGGAUGCCACAACCCCAAGUCUAGUUAAUCUCUGAAGAUGCAAGAGAGGGCGAGAGACAGGUUCUUUACAUUAGCCAUCUGAUUUCUGAAGACUCCGUUUCUCCCUGGUUGGAGCCAGUCUAGUUUAGCUCG